UUCGUUCUAUUAACCGUUAAUAG
rnacentral:tRNA from 1 species